GGCUGGUCUGAUGGUAAUGGGCUAAUCAGAACUUACUAACAUUAGUGUCACUAAAGUUGGUAUACAACCCUCCACUGCUAAAUUUGACUGGCUUAAA
rnacentral:Y_RNA from 1 species